AUAUAUAUGCGGCGCUGGAUGUUUCGGAAACGGAGACGCUGAAGUGGAAGCUUGCUAACAUUGCUAGCGGGCGCUUAUGGCAGCCGCCGUGGGCCAUAAUACCCGCGGUGGCGAUUGGGAAAUCCUGAGGUGGAGUGUGAGAAGCCUGUUCAGUGGCCUCGACGCCCUCGUAGCAGAAAUUAGCAUCUUUUGGGACAGUGAUGGCUUUUCCCCUCGAAUUUGAAUAUGGAGGCCACAGGGACAGAUGAAGUAGAAAAAAUAAAAUCAAAGUUUAUGUCAGCAUGGCACAAUGUGAAAUACAGCUGGGUAUUGAAAACAAAAACGUACUUUAGCAGAAACUCUCCUGUCUUUUUGCUUGGAAAAUGCUAUCAUUUUAAGACUGAUGAGCCAACAGAGCAGUCACCAAAUGGAUCAAAUUAUGAUGUAACAGAGGAAGAGGUUUCAAGAAACGUUGAAGAGUUCCGUAAAGACUUUAUUUCUAGAAUAUGGCUGACAUACAGAGAAGAAUUUCCCCAAAUCAAGGGCUCAGUAUUAACAACAGAUUGUGGCUGGGGAUGCACCCUAAGGACUGGCCAGAUGCUUCUAGCACAAGGGCUUAUUCUUCACUUUCUUGGCAGAGAUUGGACCUGGCCAGAUGCCUUAGUCAAUGAAAACCCGGAAUCUGAAUCAUGGACGAGUCACACAGUAAAAAAGCUCACAGCAUCAUUUGAAGCAUCACUUAUAGGAGAGAAGGAAUUCAAGAACCAAUCAAUCCCUCCUAGGCAAAUCCGAAAAAGAGACUGGGGGAAAAGAGAAAGCAGAGAUGAACACUAUCAUCGAAAAAUAGUUUCGUGGUUUGGCGAUUCUCCACUUGCAAAUUUUGGCUUGCAUAGACUUAUAGAAUAUGGAAACAAGUCUGGAAAAAUGGCUGGAGACUGGUAUGGUCCAGCUGUUGUAGCACAUCUUUUGAGAAAAGCUGUUGAAGAGGCAAAAGACCCUGAGCUGCAAGGAAUAACUGUCUAUGUAGCUCAGGAUUGUACAGUUUACAAGUCUGAUGUUGUUGAAAUGCAGUGUUCUCUCAAGGAUUCAGAAAAACCAGGUGCCAAAUCUGUGAUUAUAUUAAUUCCUGUGAGGCUUGGUGGCGAAAGAACCAACAUGGAAUACCUAGAGUUUGUGAAGGGAAUUUUGAGUCUUGAAUACUGUAUUGGCAUUGUUGGUGGCAGACCAAAGCAGUCGUACUACUUUGCUGGAUUUCAAGAUGACAGCUUGAUUUACAUGGAUCCUCAUUACUGCCAGUCCUUUGUAGAUGUCAGCAUAAAGAAUUUCCCCCUUGAGUCAUUCCACUGCCCUUCUCCGAAGAAAAUGUCUUUUAAAAAAAUGGAUCCUAGCUGCACAAUAGGCUUAUAUUGUCCAAAUGUGCAAGGCUUUGAAAGAGCUUCUGAAGAAAUAACUAAGGCGAUCCCUCAUUGUCCAAGUAUGAUGGCCUUUCAAGUUCUUGGAAGAUCCCUAUGCAUGAUUUUUUUUUUAAUGUGUGGAGGUCGGUGCACAGCUGAUCAACGCACAGUCUUCGCAGAGUGAGGGUCCCAACCAGUGGCAUGGUUCACACAAUGACAGUAGCUUCUCAAUCUUUUGCAGCCUUCAUACACCUUCACAGCCAUGGUAACAUAUACCAUGUUAUCUUCCGCCUGAUGUGCUGUUGAGGUCUUUGGAUUGUGCUCGGUCUGGAACCUCCCUUGCACCCUCCACCCUGUGAGUGCAUGACUCCAGUGGUUACGCCCACAGGUUCAUUGGAACAUGCAAAGCCCCUCACCAUGACAAGGUGACAAGCCAUCAAGGGGAAGUUAAUUCACUCCAGGUUUUACUCCUAAACUUUAAAGCAGUAAUGCAGGGUGCCAAACUGAUUUUGGAGGUAGAGUUCAGUACUAUGGAUAUCUUUUUAAAAAAUCAAGCUAAAAUCUCAAGCAAAUUUGCUGCUCCAUGGACACUAAAAGAACCAGCAACCACGGGCUAAAGGGGCCUUGGAUACAAAAUUCUCUCAUAAUAAUAAUAAUAAUAAUAAUAAUAAUAAUAAUAAUAAUAAUAAUAAUAUAAUAACUUUAUUUUUAUACCCCGCCCCAUCUCCCCGAAGGGACUCGGGGCGGCUUACAUGGGGCCUGGCCCGAUAAAACAAACAAAUAACAGUAACAAAGCAAUAAAACAAUUAUCCCAGUAAAAAACAUCAACAUCAAUAAAAACAAUCAUUAAAAUCAACAAGCAGGAUACAGUGUUAAAAACAGAAGACUAAUUCGUAGAUCCCAGGCAAAGUGCAGAGUGUUACGAAAUGGGAAAAGGAAAUUUCACAGUUGAAUGGACAAUAAAGUGCGGUAUAAAAUGGCAAGACAACAACAAUGGGACUAUUAUGGAAUGGACAGAUAGAUCAAUCCAGCAACAACUAAACAUCGAAGGCCUUUUGGAAGAGCCAGGUUUUUAAGCUCUUCCGGAAGGAGAGGAGGGUAGGGGCCUGCCUGAUCUCUCUAGGGAGCGAGUUCCAAAGCCGGGGGGCCACGACGGAGAAGGCCCUCUCUCUCGUCCCCACCAACCGCGACUGUGAGGGUGGUGGGAGCGAGAGAAGGGCCUCCCCCGACGAGCGAAGAGAACGUGUGGGUUCAUAAAGGGAGAUGCGGUCUCUAAGGUAGGUGGGUCCCAAACCGUUUAGGGCUUUGUAGGUGAUAACAUCUGGCUCUUAAAGGGGAACAUCAGAAUUUCUUCUACUCCACUGGAAGUACAUGGGAAAUUACUUAUGUCUGUAACUCUCAGAUUCCCACUGGCCACACCAGCUGGCAUAUUCAGGAAGCCAUAGACCAAAAUGUAACUUUUCCUAAUGCUUCCCAGGGAGCAUAGGAAUGCAGCUUAUAUCUUUGUACUGCAAACCAAUGAAUCCAGGUAAAUGAUUCAUAAUCUAAUUUACAAAACACAGAAGCAAACAAUUGCUUGCUGUAGAUAUUAUUCCUUGAGUUACAACCAAUUAAUUAGUAGGACACCGAGCAAACGUGAUAUUGAUCCUCAACUGUUUUUCUUUUCUGCACAAUUAGUGUAUAUAUAUAUAUAUAUAUAUAUAUAUAUAUAUAUAUAUAUAGUCACCCAUUCACAUAUAUUUCCUAAGCAGUGAAUGUUUUAUAAAUAUUUUGAAAAGUCUCAUCACAUUGCAGUGGCAUACUAUUUUAUUAUGAAAUGAAGGCAUGUUGAAAUCUAUCCUUCCUGUGCCCCCAAAACUGGGGGCAGAAUUAUAAUAUAUUCCCUGACACCAUUUUUCAAAAAUUGGAAUGAGUGGAGCCAUAAAAUAUGUGGCCUUAUCAUUUGGGCUGUUUUGUUCAUUAAGAAGAUGUGAAAUUAUGCAAUAGUUUAUCCAUCUGGGUGAAAGAAUACAUUUAUGAGGCAAAACACAAUUACCUCAAUAGAAAGAUGAUUUUUGACAGGUGGUGAAGGGGAAAGGGAGGGUGGGAGAAAGAGUUUAAAAAUGGACCAGAAUGUAAUAAAAGAAAAGAAAGGGGGAAAUAAUGUGUUGGAAUAACAGUAAGGAGAAUGUUUCUGUACGUGAUUUUUCAUUUACAGAUAGCAAGCAUUAAUAUGCUUGCCUAUGGGUUGUGCAUUACUGCUUUCACCUAUAUAAAAAUGGAACUUGAUUUAUAUGACCACAUUCUUUAUUGCUACUAGGUCUUUCUGUCUUUCUUGAUCUCCUAUUGGCUGCCAGGUGGUUAGAAUGGGACGAUAUUGGACUGCACUAUGGCCUAAUGGGUAAUAAUAAAUACAUCAGUGUAUGUGACUUGGGAUCGUGGGGUGUUGUGGUGGGGGAUUGUAUACCCAGAAAACCAAUCACAAAGCAGGAAGAACAAUAGCUAAAGCUUUUAGUGCUCUUUAAGUUUCCUCAUCGAUCCCCAUGGCAUCUGAUUAUAUCACAGAAGUUAUAUCAAAAAACUACAUUAAAUGUCAACUAAAUCAAGACUUUUCAUGACUCUUUUUUCUUAAAAAAAGCAAUGAACUACAGGACAAACACUAUAGUAUGCAUGGAGAUCACUACCUAGAGAACAGAACUCUGCAUUUCAUACACUCUCUUUUCAAAUGGAACUAAAAUGAAGUUGUGUGUUUUAUUCAUUUUAUUAUUUCCCUCUUUAUUUAUGUUGGCAUUCAGAAAGCAUACAGCAGCAAUCACAAAUGGCCAUCGUUCUUUACUCUUCUAAUCUACAGCGCUUUCCUUGCAAGGCUCAGAAAAAGCUUGACGGAUAUUAAUAUCUACAACUCCAUAAAACUCUUUUGGAGAGAACUGAUGAGAAAGAAAGAUGUAACUGUUUAUCCCACUGUAGACAAAAUUGAGACACAAAGCUGAGUAGUCUGGAUUUUAUAAGGCCAGAAUACCUUUAACAUGAGAAAUUGCUGCUUUUUUAUUUCCAUGGUUUAACUGUUUCCUUUGUUGACACUGCAAAGUCCAGGAUGUGAGUAUAUUGGAUCACCUUGAAACAUCGCUCACUUAGAUAGCUAAGGGUUAAAAAACUAUACUAUCAAUGAAUUCAGUUAGAAGUAAGAUCACCAGGUGCCCUUUAUUAUAAAGGUGUCCCGUAUUUGAGAGUUGGAAAACUUUUCCUUCAAAAUAGAUUGAAAAAGGUGCAAACAAAAUGCAGACGAAAACAACCCUGUAUUUUGGAAUGUGGGCCUUUCAUAAACUCAGAAAUGUAUGCAUCAUGUAAUUUUUGGAUGUUGACAAUGAAUAUGAAGCUAAUUGUUGCUUAUACCCAGGCCAGGUUUAUUCCUAAAGUCUAUCAGGAAUUCUCUUUUCAAGUAAAUAAAUCUGUGAUAAAUGCUUGAAACCCAGCUCCUUCUAUAGUUGCUUUGUCCAUGUGAAACACAAUUUUCCAGAGUCCUGCUCAUAUGACAAUGCUCUAACAAAGGAGCAACAUGUUCAUCACAUUUUUGUCUGUGUCUAUGCCUCUUCAAGUUGCCUGUCAACUUGUUGUAACCCCAUGAAUUUCAAUGGGUUGUAUUAGGCAAUGAAUAAUCGGAGGUGAUUUGGGCCAUUCCUUCCUCCGAAAUACAUCAUGCAACACCUGGAAUUCAUUGGCAGUCUCCCAUCUGCCAAUGGGAAUAUUAGGGUUUAAGUCCCCACUGUCUCAGAAACCAACUGGGUGAUCUUUGAACAAGUCAUAUUCUUUCAGCCUCAGAGGAAGGCAAAUGCAAAACACUUUUGACUAAAAUGCCAUGUGAUAAGUUUGUCUUAGGAUUCCUCUAAGUUGGAAGUGACACACAAGAGACCGUUAUUCCUCAUGAUUUUAGUUAAUCCUAAAACCUUUUGUUAAUGCUAAAAGAGAAUAUCUGAAUUGAACCUAUUUCUGUAUCUGUAUUUUUAAUUAUAACUUCCUUUAAAUUUCAUAUACACACAAAUGAAAUUUCAUGAGCAUUCUACAUACAUUAGGCCUGUAGUUCCAAGGUACAAAUUGUUUGUAGAAUCUCAAUUACACUCCUUAUAAUAUUGUCAUUUAUAAUCAGCUCACUACAAAAACAGGUCUUUUAGAGGGUAAAAAAAUCAUUUGAACUUUUGAUCUGCAAUACAUUUGAAUAUUCAGAUAAGGUCAUUGGUCAGAGCAAGGGUGACAGCUAUGGUCAAUAAAAAGGUUCAGUGAGACAAAAAACUUUUUGUCUAUGUGAGGAUAGACUAAAGACAAGAGGUUCUCAAGAGGGAUAAAGAAGAUUACAUUUUGCUGUGUCACCAGUUUGUUGGUAAAGUCCAGUAGCCAAUUUGUUGACACUAUCAGCUUUUUAUAAUUUUGCUGGAUGAUUCUGAUGGUUAUGGAAGACCUCAUCUAACACCCACACUUUUCUUCAGAAUAACUGCAAGGGUUUUCAAAUGGACCAUUAAGUCAAGUGUAUGCAGAGAGUGACAAGCAUAUGUACUGUAUUAUACUCAUGUAUAAGUCUAGAAAUUUUAGUCAACGAAUUGAUCCAAAAAACCUGGGUCAACUGAUUCAUAGACUAAUAUAAUUCUAUUCAGAGAAGGAGAUGGCUCCUUUUUGAAAUAAGAGUUAAUACUAUACCUUGAAUUUUAUCUACAAUGGAACCACCUGGGUAGAGUAGAGAAAGGAAAAUGGGAUGGAGGUGGUCAAGGAUGGUUGACCCCCUAACACAGUGGUUCCCAACCUCUGGGUCCCCAGCUGUUUUGGCCUACAACUCCCAGAAAUCUCUGCCAGUUUACCAGCUGCUUGGAUUUCUGGGAGUUGAAGACCAAAAUAUCUGGGGACCCACAGGUUGAGAACCACUGCCCUAAGGCAAUACUGGUACAAUCUCCUCUUUGUGGAGUGACUCUUGGUUUAACCAUGGAUCAUUUCAAAAUCCAAAAUUUGGCCAUCAAAAUCUGCCCUUGAUUUAUACAUGAGGUCAACCUAUACAUGAGUUUAUUUCCAUGAUCCUAGGUUCACCUAAUUAUGAAUUAGGAAUGAGUAACUGACGAGUAAUAUAGGGAAAAGAAAAGGUGCCUGUACAAGAACAUUACAAAAAAUCACACAGAUAUAUCAAAAAUUAAUGACAUGGGCAAACAAAAUGUGAAUAUUUACACCAGAACUGUGUUAGUGGUUUAGAGUAUUCCCUGUAGAUUAGAUCUAACAUAAUCAAAAUUCCACCCAUAACACAGAUUUUGUUAUUAUUAUGCUCAGUUGAGAGCCAUUGUGUUGUAGUGGUUUUCAUUUUGGACUAAGACCCAACUCCUACCCAACAUGCCAACCCUGGUGGGUGACCCUCGACAGGUCAACCUUUCUCAGUCUCAGAGGAAGGUAAUGACAACCUCUGGUUCAUCAUAACUAGGACUGACCUAAAGACACAUUACAACACCAACUAAGUCACUGUUGGAAAAACUAGCCAACCAAAAAUAAUCUGGGACCUUAAGCAUUGCAUUUCUUGACAUUUCCUUGAAUAUUAGUAAUGACAUGAUCCUAUAAUUAACCAUAAAACCUGGUACUGUUUCAAAUGUGUCAGUAACUGCAGUAUUGUUGGAUCACACUUAAGAAGCUAAGGAUGAUUAACCUUUGCCUAGGUUAUAAAAUGGCCCAUUUGAGAACUGUUGCUACUGAAUAUAUUAGCCUGAUAUCAAUUGGAUUAUUGAAUGAAAGGUUUUACAUGAUGUUUGGUUGAUGAUGAUAGAUGUGUGGUUACAAACUGUUUAUGACAAAAGGAAAAGCCUAUAAAAUAUUAAUGCAGAUUUAAAAUAGAUUUUCUUCCCACUUUGCUUCAGAAUUAAUGUAUACAUGACUAUCGAAUAUGGCCUUCUGCUUUAAAGUGGUAUCCAGUUAUUGGAUGUUUCACUAUAGGUUGGAAAUUACUACAAGACACACGACAACAACUACUAUAAACAGAUUUUGGAAAUGUUUGGCCUACAAGUUCUAGGAUUUCCUGAUCAUUAUAGCCAAUACCUCAUUGGACACUGAAAAAGUCACAAACAAGUUGAGAUUGCCUGGUCAAGACUGAAAUAAUUGUCACCAUUACAUUUCACAGAAUGCCUGCAACUCAGUCAGACACUGAUGAGAUUCCUUCAAGGUAGCCAUCCAGCAUGUAUCAAAACCUAAGAAUGCCUUUAAUCCCCCCCCCCGUCCCCGUCCCCCCCCGUUAGAGGCUUUGAUGCCUUUUUAACAUUAAGCAUUGACACCUGCACUGCUCUUUAUACAGAUAUGCCCACACAAGGUCUCUUGUAAUAGCUAAUUUAAUUUCACUUCUUUCUCUCAUUGUCCUAGGACUAAUCUUUACGCAUUUCCUGUGCAAAUUCACAUCAUUCUCCUGCAAUUGCAGGCUCAAAGGCAGUAGAGGGUUUUUUUUCUUCUUCUCCUUUAUCAUGUCUGAUUAAGGUCAGUAGGAUGACAGAGAUAUUAUAGAGAACAAUGAUCACAUUUCCAUCAGCGAAUAGGUGGGUGGGUCCAAGCUGCAUAUACUAAAAGCUUACCCUCUACAGUCUUUAAUGUGUAUUUGUGUCAUCCAUCUGCAGUCCAGACAAUUGAGUAAGCCAUAAAUGCAUAAAAUAUAUGUACUUUUUGUAUUAAAUAUUAUCUUCAGCACUAAUCCUUAUGGUUUGGGGGGCCUAUAAGCAUUUGCAGUUUUCCAACUUUUGCAGGGAUUCUGUGCCCCCACACUCUUAUGAAUGUGGUGUGAUGACACUAACUUUUCCCCUCAUUUUCAAGAUACCCAAUGUUGCUGCAGUUUGAUAAAUAACUCUUCAUUUUAAGAAGUGGAUGACAUAGAAGUGGCAGCUAUUUUCCUUUUUGGGGAAUGCUUGACUUUUUGUGCACUGAGAGGACAUGUUUUCAUAUGAACCCAACUGAUGCUUGUUGUUUGUUUAGAAGUGAUUUUCAAGUUAUUGUGGUCAUAAGGUGAUCCUAUCACUGAGUAUUUUUAACAAGUUUUGUUCAGAGGGUGUUUGCUAUUGCCUUUCUUUGAGGCUGAGAGAGUCCGACUUGUACAAGGUCACCCUAGAGGUGACCAACAGUCAGACUGCUACUCUAUGCCGGGUCUUUAUUUUGGUAGACAUAUACAAAUAACAUGGUUUCAGUUGAGCCAGAGGACAGAAACUACCAGGGGUUCUGGGGCUCUAAUUGCUCACUCAGGACAUUGGAAAACUGGACCCAACUACUUCAUCUUCAACUCCUUUUGUAAACUUGUUGUUUGUGAAAAAUUAUCCUAUAGGGCAUCUUGAACAAUUUCACCUUGUUCCUUCUUUCUCUUGGGCUAUUUUGCACCUAGGAGAGACCUUUGGUUUAUUUUUCAUUAAAAAAAUAUUCUGAGUCUCAGACAGUCCAAAAAGAGGCUUACGUAUGGCAAAAUUAGUAGCAUGGGGAGAUUUUGUAACAAUAAAUACUUCCAACUUAUGGAGAGUCUAAAGUAGUGGUUCUCACCCUAUGGACCAUGGCCCAGCAGUGGGCUGCGGGAACGAAAAUCCAGUCCGCAAACCUCCUUCCUUCCUCUCCUUCCUCUUUAUUUAUUUAUUUAUUUAUUUAUUUCACUCCUUUCUGCAGAGCUGACUAUUGCAUUGGAUGGACCAUAUCAGAUCUAGAUUAUUAAAUAGGGUGAGCAGCUAGUGACUACUGGAUGGCAAAAGUUCUGUAUCAGAAACUAGAACUGAUGUGGUCUACCCAAUGCAAUUUUCUGAAACAACACCCCAAAUAACCAAACCGAAUCUAAAGUUGGUACUAAUGUUGGAGAGUGGUCCUUGGUCAAAGUGGUCCCCGGUCAAAGUGGACCCUGGUCAAAGUGGAACCACUGGUCUAGAGGGAACCUAUGCCAAGAUUUGUUCAGAGAGGGUUUACCAUUUGAGGCUGAGAGUUUGAUUUGCCCAAGGUCACUCAUUUGAUGUCUGUGGUGAAUUGGGGAUUUGAACCCUGGCCUGCAGAAUCACAAUCCAAUGUUUAUAUUACAGGUCAGGGAGGACCAGUAUCUUUUAAGGUUGGUUUCAGAAUACAAAAAUUCUUUAUGGAUUUCUUCCACACCUUUUUUGCAUACUGCCACAGAGAAGAGUUGCAUGUUACUUGUUUUUCUUGUUUUGUACACACAAUGCAAGAGACCUCCAAAAAGCAUCCAUUUAACAGCCAUUGUCAAAGCAGGAUCCAAAUGGUACCCUGUGGGAUGCCAUUUCAAAUGCAAUAAUUGAACCCUUCAUAGUUUUGGGUCUUAUUAAACCAUUAAAAUAUACACAAUAAAGGAAAAUGAAUACAUUCAGAUUUGUUGAAAAAAAAUAACCAGGAGGAGACUAUUCUGUGAAAUUCCCUAUAUGCAUUGUAUGCCUAGUAUACAUCUAUUGAUUACAAUGAACAUCUUUUAUCUGUACACAACCUCCAGCCUACCUGUCAAAUCCUGCCAGGUAAGACUCUUGCUAACAUCUUUUCUUCUUUCUUUUAGCACCUUGGGACAUUUUCCUUAACCUCAUCCUAUUCUACCUCCAUUUACAUCAAAGUCUGACACGGCUGCUUUAAGAAAUAAUGCAUUAUGGGAUCAAUUUACUCACAGUGUUUCUUAUGAUCCCAUAACAGAAGAUCUGUUAUAUGACAGGAUAUUUCAAACUUUCACAUUUGCUACAUCUUUUGUCUUCAGACAUGAUAGAUAAUAUUCCCAAUCCAAUCCCAUAAAAGCUGUUUGGAAAUUGCAAAUUUACGCCAUUCCUGCUGGUCCAGCAAAAAACCCUUUAAUUUAUAAUCAUAGACAUAAAUUUCACAGCUAGUGUUAUUGUCAUUCCACACUUGAAUUAUAGUACAUACGGGGAGUGGCUUGUGGGAGAGAAGCAAUGUCACCAUAAUUUCAAUAUAAUUCCGAUGGCAAUCAUUAUAUCUACUUAUCAGUUAUAAAUCAAUCUAGAGUCCACAUUAAAUUAACUGGCACUGUCUCUCAAAGUUGUGAGGGAAUUCUAGGAAAGGAAUUAUAUUGCAGAUGAUUUCUGUUAUGCUGAUUCAUGUGGAUAUAGUUAUACAUACUGACUAACAACAGACAUUUCAAUAAUGAACCAAUGACUUAUUAGCAUUUUCAUCAGGAUUCCACAGUGAAGAGUCAGUAUAUGUAAUGUGGCAGGAAUCAGAUUCUCUGAACUUUUUAUUUGUUGAAAUAACUGAUAUUUUAAGCAAGCAUUGUCUACAAAUUAUAAUGGAAAUUUUGGCAGACAUCUUGUUCAUUAGUUAUGAGAUUGUAAGAUAGGAGGUAACUAAAACCUGGGCUGACUUACCUACUGGUCAAUGGAAGUCCUAUACCUUAACUCUCAUAAAAACGAAUCCUACCCUUCAGAAGAGUGGUAAAAGGUGAGAGUUAGGCUGUCCUGGCAGAAACUAAAAGAAGCACUGAUCGCUUCUACUCUCUCCACCACAGUGCUGCAUCCAACCUUUUUGAAUACCUGGAUGGGAAAAUGGUAGUGGUAGGCAGGGCCAAGGAGGCAUUUGUGCUUUGCGCUCCCUCAGCUUAUCCACAGGUCAUAUAAAAAUCCAUAAUUUUGGCCCCUAAACCUGCCCAUGACACGAGGUUGAUUUAUAUACAAGUAUACAUGGUAUUGAGGGGAAAUAUCACAUCAUAUAGAUUGUGAAUCACUGCUCUAGAUGGUAUCUGGCAAAGCAGAAGAAAGGGAUAGCUUUCCUCGCUGAGUGCCCAUGAUAUAUUAUUAUUAGCAAUAGGAUUCCCAGAUCUCAGAGCUUGACUUAAAUCUGAGAACUUGAUGCCUCCAGUUUUAAGAGCAAAUGGGAGAAAAGUGGCUUGAAUAUCUGUCUUUCUAUUGGUUCAUCCAUCUUAACUUUCUCCUGGCACAGGAAAAAUGUAUGUGUACAUAUAGCUCCCUCAGUUGUUAGUUUGGUGAAGCCCAUAGUCUGUCUCCUGGCACAGGAAAAAUGUAUGUGUACAUAUAGCUCCCUCAGUUGUUAGUUUGGUGAAGCCCAUAGUCUGUACAACUGUAGUCAAUGCUUAAUGUAUAUACUUAAUAUCACCACCAGGGUGAACAUGACAUGGGAUCAUCCUAGGUUUAGGUUUUGGUGCUGGAAUCUCAGGGACUGAGAUAAUCCUGACUUGGCGACUCUGGUUAUUAAGCCCCUACCUUAUCAUAUUUUAUAUUUAUAAUGUGGCCAAUAACCAUUAUAAGACAAUAACUUAUUAUCUAGCCAUAGGAGAGAAAUCCUACUGUUCUUCCUCUAUCAAGAAGUUCAAAGAUCCUGAGUUUGCUGACAACAUGACAUCUGUGAGGCAGAGUGGAGAUGAAACAGAAGAACAAAGCAAACAAUAAGAGGGACACAGAAGACUGGGUGACUUGGAAGAUGCUGAACAGGCUGUGCUCUGGCACCAUGAAAUGCAGUGCCAACCUUAAGAAAUGGGGCUACAACGUGGAAUCCGCGACAUGCGAGUGUGGAGAAAAGCAUACCACAGACCACCUUUUACAAUGCAGCCUGAGCCCUGUCACAUGCACAAUGGAGGACGUUCUUACAGCAACACGAUAGCCACUCCAAAAGGCCAGCUACUGGACAAAGGACAUUUAGUAUAAUGCCAAGUUUUUUUUAACUUUGUGUUUUAAAAUACAUUACAACUGUACCCUCAGUUCACUUUUGACAUGAUAAAUAAAUAAGCAAGCAAUAUCAA